CGCUUAGCAAGUUAACAAACAUAUAGUCUCAGAUAUCCGAGUAUAAAAUAGAAAUAAAAAGAAAAUAAUUCAAAAUUCAGAACAAACAUAAAAUUUUACAUAAAAAAUGAACUGCAAUUUUCGGUAAACUUAGUAAAAUGGCUUUGCUCCGUAACUGUAACUGUAACCAAAAAUUCUCAAAUUCUUUUAUAAGACAAUGGAAAUAAAAAUUGGACAAGGCACUUUGUAUUCGUACAAACUA